GUCUACAGCCAUGCCACCCCGAACGUGCAGGAUCCCGUCUGAUCUCGGAAGCUAAGCAGGGUCAGUCCUGGUUAGUACUUGGAUGGGAGACCACUAGGAAGACCAGGUGCUGUAGGCA
rnacentral:rRNA from 1 species